CGUGCGUUUACCCAGUGAGUUCCCUGCGAAUUGUAACGAAACUCGCGGUUACAAACUCUUUAAGAUUAAGUCAAUAGAUAGCGUUGUCGGCGAUAGAUUUCCCUCUCCAGUAAGUAAGAGUCCCUGGUAGGAAUAGCAAUUAUCGUGCUCUUCCCUUUCGUCAAUUGACCGUCGUGUAAGCAAGGCGUGUGCUAAGUGCGAUCAAAGGCGACAGGGUUUCUAAAUGAGGACCUAAAUUCUUUAUAAAACGAUAAAACUGGAUAACAGAUGAUAAGUUGACGAAGCGCUUGGAGGAAGUCGAUCACUUAACAACAAAAUCUACCAUGUAAAACCACCUGUAUAUUAUAAAACUGUUGAGUCGUUACGAACCGAACUAGGACUCAAAUAAGGAGACUAAACCGGUGGACACCGUCAUCAUUAUCCAGACAGAUAAGAAAUAUUAAUUAUAAUCGGUUCCUAUAAGAUUGACUUUAGUGUAUAAUUUAUUAGUUCUAUUUCAAUGUUUUUUUUUUAUGAGUACGUUUAAUUUCGUAAUUUUAUAAAUUGAAUGGGUUAUAAAUGAACGUGGAAUUAAUAUCAUGGUUAAAAUUUUAA